CUGACUCCUCCACCUCCCCUCGCCGCGCCGCCACUUCUCCGCCAUAGCCUCCACCAUGGAGGCUCCACGACGAGCUCGAUGAACUGCGGCGCAUUGCAUGAAGACUGCAUGGCUGGUUAUUUGGCCCUCUGAGGGGUGUAGGUGUAGUUUUUUUUGUUAUGUCUGAGGUCCUUUGUAGUUUUGGUGAACAAAAGAAAAAUGUGUGUAUGUUCUAUUCCAAUACUAGAAGAAAAUAAAAGCUCUGUUUGAUGCUUGCUCGGGUAAAACCUGUUUAACCAA